CAAAAUUAAUAUUUUAAUUAGAAUACCUGUGCUGCCCUUCAUAUGUUGUAUUAUUUGGCUGUUGAUUUGGCGACACCUAGUGGACGCAAUAAUUCACUGCAUAUUCGUUGGCUGCUGUUCAACUCGAACUAUCGCCAUAUAUGCUAUUACUUGUCGUAACGGAAUAUGAUCUAUUACGGUUCUGCCUUGGAUACUAUAUCUCUGGAAGUAACGUCUAACAUCAUUUAAAUAAUUUUUUACAAUAUUAGAAGAAGAAUUACUCCAAUAAAGGACAAGAAAAGACAAACCUUGUUUGUUUAUGGAGCAGCUUCCAGCUACCAAGCUUUGCAUAGAAACGCACUGCAAGUCUGCGGCCUUUUGGACAAGAAAUUUGGACACCCCUUCUAUAAGCUAAAGUGGUCCUAAAUGGAAUGGACCUGUUGUUGAUCAAAAUGGCGACCUACGGAGGAGCAGUAUCAGUAUACAAAGACGAGUGACUGUGCUGAAUGAAA